rnacentral:lncRNA from 1 species
CAAGUAAUACAUGCAGAAGAUGGAUUCAGGGAAGGUGCCAGGCUCCCUUAGCAUUUCCACUGUCCUGGCAGUGACUCCCUUCUAUGAAUCUAGCUUCAUCCCUUAUGAGGGCAAUGUCCCCAAGACAUGAUGGCUGUCUGUCAGUAUCACCACUUUGAGUACCAACAUAUGAUACUUUGGAGGACAUGCUCAAAUCACAUCCAAACCAUAGUGUCCAUGCUCAAAAUCUGCAAAAUAGAAAUGGAUAUUCAUGGCAUGGGAAUUUAAUGGCUUACGCAAAGCUGCAUACUGGGAGCAGGGUUCAGCAGUUAUGUAAGGCCAUUUAAAUGAAAAUAAUUAAAAUGGGAACUCUGGUUCCUCUGCCUUGCUGGUCACAGUUCAAGUGCUCAAUGGGGAUGUGUGAGCAGUGGCUGCCAUAUUGGACAGCAUGGAUAUAUGGCAUUUUUGUCAAUAAAAUAUGUCUUAUUAGACAGUUUGGUUCUGGAGACUCAUAAUUUCUUCCUUCCCAAAUGCAUAAUUGUCCCCUAUAAUUGUCAUAAACAGCAGAAAAGGCACAUUUCCAGAUAAUGCAGAAACAACCUCUGAGCAUUCUGUCUUCUUCACUCCAGAGUGAAGAGCAUGCUUACCCAAAUUCUCUAGCCUUAGGGCUUUUCUCUGAGCAUCUCUCCUAUGACACGGAAUGACUGAAGUAUGCUUUAGCAAUGUGCUUACUUUGACUUCUGCGUGCAACUUUUUCUUUACAGCUAAUAUUGAUCUAGCAGUGAAUUCCUUACAAAACCCAUACAGCUCCUCGAGGAAAAAUUGGCUGAGGUGCUAUAAAGUCACAGAUGUCUCAGGGAUUUAAAUUAAUACUGUAAAUCUCAGGAUUAUGGGGAAAGAGCUUGGGGCUUGUCUAAUAGCCUCCAACCUGACUAUGGCGUUUGCCUGACUACCAUGAGAGCUUGCAGGGAGUCCCUGCAACUUCCAGGAAGAAGACUGUGUAUUCCAGUAGCAUUUCAACAAAACAACAGGAGCAGCAGCAGCAGCAGUAACUGCAACAACAACAACAACAACAACAACAACGAAUUGAAAAUCAAGCCAAGAACACCACAAGAAGAGCCACAGAGUCAAGAACCUGGGACCAUGAAUGGGGGCUCACAGAGCUUGGGCCACCAACCAGGGAGCACACAAUAGCUAGAAAUAGAUGCUCUAUACAUUUGUAGCAAACAUACAGUUUGCCUUUUAGGUGGAGCCCCUAACAAAUGGAGCAGAGGUUGUCUUUAUCCCUGUUCCCUGCCAUUGGAUGCCCUUCCCCUGACCUAGGCUGCCUGGUUGGGCCUCAGUGGGAGAGGGUGCCUAUUGCUUCUGGGACUAGAUGCCCCAGGGUGGGGUGGUACCCAAGGGGAGCUUCGGAGGAGGGACUUUUAAGGGUGGGCCUGGGAAGACCAGAGGGAAGGUAGCUGUGAUUGGGAUGUAAAGUGAAUAAAUAAAAAAUAAAAAUAAAAAACA